CCGGAACCGCUCGGCAUACGUCAGGAUCCAGAUCUAUUGUUGAGCAUACCAUUGAUCUGGAACGUGAGCUUGCCCGACAGCCUACAUGUAUGGAGAUUUUUCUGAAGACCCACAAGAAGAAGGAUGGGUCAUUUGUUGAUUCUCGAUCUCAAACUCUACAUCAAGAAAUGACAGAACGGGUGGCUCAGGCAUCUCAGCCAUCAGCAGAGGGUGGAGAGUCACAG